rnacentral:rRNA from 1 species
GUGCAGCAGUCGCGAAAACUCCGCAAUACGCGAAAGCGUGACGGGGCCAUCCCGAGUGCCGUCCGCUGAGGAUGGCUUUUCCCUAGUGUAGAUAGCUGGGGGAAUAAGGAGAGGGCAAGUCUGGUGUCAGCCGCCGCGGUAAUACCAGCUCUCCGAGUGGUGGGGAUGUUUAUUGGGCCUGAAGCACCCGUAGCUGGCUGAGCAAGUUCUCCGUUAAAUCCAGCGAUUUAAUCGUUGGACUGCGGAGGAUACUGUUCGGCUAGGGGGCGGGAGAGGCCGACGGUAUUCUCGGGGUAGGGGUGAAAUCCUAUAAUCCCGGGAAGACCACCAGUGGCGAAGGCUGUCGGCUAGAACGCGCCCGACGGUGGGGGAUGAAAGCUGGGGGAGCGAACCGGAUUAGAUUUGGAAAGGAGAAAUAUCCUUCCACUGAAGACCCGGGUAGUCC